rnacentral:lncRNA from 1 species
AUAUUUUAUAUUUCUGAAUUGCAGCAUUAUCUACUAAUUUUUCUCUGCUUUUCAAGGUAAUCAAGCUUCCCUGGUGGCUCAGAGGUUAAAGCAUCUGCCCGCAAUGCAAGAGAUCUGGAUUCGAUCCCUGGGUCGGGAAGAUCCCCUGGAGAAGGAAAUGGCAACCCACUCCAGUGUUCUUGCCUGGAGAAUCCCAUGGACGGAGGAGCCUGGUGGGCUACAGUCCAUGGGGUUGCAGAGUCGGACACAACUGAGCAACGUCACUUCACUUCACUUUCAAGGACCUUUCUGGCACUAGUGGAACAUUUAGAUAUCCAACAUAAAUUAUGAAAUUCAAGUCUCAGUUGAUUUCCUGUUGAAAGUAAGUAUUCCUAGGCAGCUCAAAUCUGACAGUAAUAUCACCCCCAUAUGUUCAAGGAAAACUACCUGAA